UAUAGAGCCAGAAUUCAUCAGGCAAGAUGAGGCAGGAGUGGUUAGAGUAUCUGCUGCAAAAUAAUAUAUGUUCAAUGUACAUCUAGCUAUAGCUUAGGACUACAGCUACAAAUUGCAGCUUAAUGUAGGAAAAGAAAUAAGCUGGCUGUUCUCAGCAUCUGAGUGACUCAGGGUAGAAAAGCAGAGAAGAGGCUCUGGCAGCAGCACCCUUGAGGCCAUUUCACAGGGGUCCUGGAGGAAAUCUGUCUGAAAGCCUUCCUGGGAGCAUCAGUGACUUGUUUAGAUGCAGAUGAUCCAAUCAUUCUGUCUGUCUUGAUGGAUACAUGAGCACAACUUGAAUCCUACUUCCACCUAAAGGAAGUAUGGAAGCAUGACCUGGUGCCUUUCUGCCGCGUGCUCUCUCACCUACAGGGAUGUGAUUCCGAGAUGGAACAGGAGUGUCGGUCAGAUCCCUUCGUCCAAGAAGCCUCACUGGACUUAAUGGGACCCACUCAUCUUGUAUGACACUAUACAGGGUAUUCUAUAUCUGCUAUUCUUACUUAAAGAAACAUCAGUCCUCUACGUACCCAGACAAUCUCUUCAGGUUACCUUGAGGUCAGCAUCAUAAAUAUAACAAGGGAAGAGCCACGACCUACAUACAGAGCAGGCUCCCAGUGGAGAGCACUGCGAGCAAAACUCGAUACUGCAAAACUGAACACUGCAAAACUGAACACUGCAAAACUCAUUGCUCCAGAGAGGAAGAUCCAGGGGUGAGCUGGGCCUUCCUCCCACACAGGCUGAAGAGGAAGAGUGAUACAUAUCUGGGAGAGGAAUAAGGCUGAGAGAAGAAGGAAGGUCCUGGAGAAGCUUAGUUCUUUCUUCUGGAAAACAAAUUGAGACAGUUACAGAAGGAAUAUUUCAGUGGGAUGCCACAGACUCUUGCCCCUGCUCUGAGCAGCAGCAGUUAACCUCGUUCUAAUCACUGCAGCCCUGUCUUUUUUGGUGUACCCCAUAACCUGCUGAUUCGGGUGAUUGUUAGCUCCAGGUGUAUCUGGAGCUGACACUGUCACCAUCUUCACAGUAAGCAGCUGUCAUAAGGACUAUACCUCUUACAUGUCACAAACUAAAUGCUAUCUUGUUUUUCUUAACUUUGUUUAUUCAAUACCACAUUAUACAGUAAGAAUAAAAAGUUAAAGUAAAAUAUUUCCUGAGGAGAUAAUUAUUUUAUUUUGCUGAGUGGUUCUAGUUAGGAAGAAACAUGCAUUUUUUGUUUUCCAUGCCUGUAGAUUUCUAAGUGUCCUAUAACUGGAAUUGAAACCUAAAGUUAAAAUCAAUUUGCUGUUUUUUGAAAAAUAUUCUAGAAUAAAAAAGUGAAGAAAGCUAUUAAGUAUUUUCCAGAAAGUAAACAUUCAGAAAUACAGAAUUAGGAUUUGUCUUUUUAAAUUAUCCAGUCUAUAGCAAGCAAACUCUUAAAUAACAUCGAAUAGUGAAGAAGAAAAAAAAGAUUAUGCCAUGGAUCUAAAGAAUAUAAUACACUUUCAAAACUAGACACUAAAUGGAGGUUGAGAAACAAUGGGCAUAAUUUGAACCAGGAAAGGUUCAUGCUUUUAAAGUAAAGUCAAAAAUGGCAACUUUUUGCCCCAGAGAAAUGUCAGAUAGUUGAGCAUGUUCCCCAAAGAGGUUUUGGCAGCAGUACUUUUGAAAUUGGCAUGACACCUGGAACAAUCUGGUCUGACCUCAUAGUUGACACGGUUGAAUGUAGCCAAAUCUCCAGUAAACACAGAAUUGGAAGAGGAGGUUGAAACUCUUUGCUUAUUUUUCUUGGUAGUUUUCAAUAUUUCUGCCCAAGGGACCUGAGAAAAGAUAAAAUGUAGUCCAGAUUUUCCAAAUAUAAUUAAGAACAGAAGAUAGAUAGUUUCCUGGAGUUCCAGGAAAUUCACUGUGUGAACUGAAUGCAUAGACACCGCCUCCAUUCUCUUAAAAUCCUUGUGCUAUAAAAGAAGAAAUUGGGAAAAUGUCAGGGAAAAGUACCCUGAGUGCUUGCUUCAUAUUUAUACUCAGCAUGAAUAUGUCUCAGAACUUUUGGAAUCAGGAUAGACCUUUAGUCUGAUUCAGGCCAUUCUAAUAAUCAUGUUCUAAAUAAUGAGUGGUGAAGGAAACUCAGCAACACACAGGCUGAAAGACACACAGGUAAAAUGGGUACUGUGGUUCAACAUUAAUUCUCUUUGAGCUUGUUUAUUUUCAUUAUGAAUAUAUUCUGUUCAGAAUCCAGAUCAGAGUAUUCAGCAUUCCCAGCCUGAUUACUUGAAAUCCCCAACAGAAUACAUAUUUUCCCAAAUUGGGAAAUACUGGGAUGUAAUUAAAUGUAGUAAAUUAAAACAAAGCAAACCCUAUGGAGCGUAAGAGUUUCACAGUUAAAUUUCAUCUGCAAAAAAAUGGCUCUGAGAUAUAAUUAAAAUGCAACCCUCUAAAAAAGAGGAUAUAUUAAACAUUUGUUCUUUUGGUUUUACUUUGACAACUGCUAAGAAAAAAAACCAAACAAAAUACAACCUUCAGCCAAAGAGAAAAAGGUUGUUGCAUCUUUCAACACUAAUACCUAAGUAUAAACUGUAGAGUGUUCAGAUACUAUUGGAUUAUUGGGAUUGUGAUGGUUCACAAAUUGGUCAUUAUGACAGCAGAAUAAAGGGAAAAGAGAUUUUCAGCACCAAAUGUACAAAUGGUGAAGAGAACUUCAGAAUUAAUUUUAAAUAAAUGAGACAAGUUCUCCAAAGCUAACAAGGCAGAACUGUUGAAGAUAGGUUUAUAUUAGAUAUGCCAACUAACUUUCAUCUGUGAAGAUGCUAUUGGGAAUAAACAAAGAUUUCUUAAGAGAUACUGCUUUCAAUUCUUUCUAAUGUUCACUGAUUUUCUUAAAGAUUUUGGUUCAAAAAUCAUUUUAUUUGUGGUAUAUUUUAUGUAUUACUUGAGAACAAUGUUACUGAUGCUCAUGCGCCUAUAUUUAAGGUAUCAGCAAGCAGCUGGUUUUCAGUUCUGAAAUGCAGAAAUCCGGACAGCAUUGGACUCAAUAAUAGUUUCUCACUAAUUAGGAAUAAUAAAAAUAAUCCUAUCAGCAAGAUAUGUAAAAUACAGCCUUUCAAGAGAAGGAUUUUUUUAUGUGGUGGGAACUUUUUUUUUAACAUCGUUUUUUUGUUGUUGGUUUUGUUUGGUUUGGUUGUUUGCUUUUUUUGUUCUGUUGUUUGAUUUUUUUCCAAAUAUACCUCUGAAAUAUAUAUGAAAGGAAGAGUAGAGAUUUGUUUAUUGGUUGAUGUAUAUCUCUUUUGUCUCACUACACUUCACCAUGGAGACAUGUAGACUCUUCAGGCUGGAAAUGUAGAUGAGAUUUUUGCUCUGGCCCUUCUAUCCCAAACACUGAUGGUACAUAGUUUUCUAUUAAAGUGUCUUACCCAAAUGCCUGUAAUUUUCAGCAGCUUUAAGAAUGUGUUGAAUAUGUUGAAUGUACUUCCUAAAUAGGGGUAGUUUAACUAAAUUCUGCUAGCCACCUUAAAUCUUGGAUUGUUAGAUAUUUUCCUUUUAGGAAUGGACUACUUUCCCAGAAGGAAAAGACACUCUGGACUAAAAUGGAAUAUUAAAGAGGAGGAACAAACAAUCUAAGUAUGCCACACAACUGGAUAAUCUGCAAAUAAUACUAGAAAUAGAUAUGGUCCUGGAUAUCACAUCAUACGUUUAUCUUCAAGAAAGACCUUAGGGCCUAUUUGAGUUCUGUGGACUUUCAGGUCAUCCCUGCAGUGGCUGAUAUAAUGGAAUAGGAUUAAGAAUAAGAUCUUCCUUAAAUGCAACUGAAUGUGUGAGUUAAUCUCAGUUAACUUUUUCCAUCUUAAAAUUGCAUGCCUAGACUAAGGUUGCUACCUAUGUUUCAUAGAUAUCUGUGAACUCAUGGAUCUCUGAGCAUGUCUAGUGAAAGGUCUAGUGAAAGGAGCCCCUGUCCACAGCAGGAAAGUCAGAACUAGAUGAUCUUUAAGGUCCCUUCCAACACAAACCAUUCUAUAAUUCUGUGACCUAUGGUCUGUGAGAGGAUGAGGGGAAUUUCAAAGCAUGAACCAGGGGUUUUCAAGAGAGGAAGGAUUAAUUGCUAUGCACAAGUUCCAUCUUCCAAAGCAGCCUGACGAAAUGUAGCUUGAACCAGACACCUAAUUUUUUAGGUGGUUAAAACUAAAUGAAGUGAACAUGACUGUAAGGUUCCAUAUCCUCUGAGGAACUUUUAACAAUUCUGCAGAAAAUAUGAAAGGCUGUAAAGGUAUUCCAUUGUAUUUUGUAGUUUUUCUAAUGAAGACAUCCACUUGAGGUUAAAAUAAAAGUUUUCAUGCUGUUUAGGAAGAUUGAAGUAUGCUUUAAUGUGUUAAGUGGGGACUGGGAACUGAGUGGAGUUGCUUGGGGUUUUUAAAAUCAUAUAAUAUUUCUUAGACAAAAAGAAUGAACAACCACGAUCCAAAUAGUCUUUUAGUUGAGAAGCUAAGCCCCCCUCCAGAGCCUUAUCCUGUCUAAGGAGCUGAUUCCAUUCAGAGACCAAUUUUGCUGUUAAUUUUAUGGUAUUACUGCUCAUAAACCUGUGUAGUAAAACUCAAAGUACCAUACUGUAUGUCUUCAUAAACCUGAAUGUCAAUUUGCA